UCACACAGCUAUGGAUAAAUAAACAAAUAUUUUUCUGUACCACAUCUCUCCCCCGAUUCCCCUCUCUCACGCGAGCUCCAUGGCCACAAGGCCCACAACGUUGCCGCCGCCCCCGAAUCCGGGCAGUUCCGGCGCAGUUCCGUGCCGCUGCUCACCGGCCCCCUCCCCCUCACUGUUCUUCUCCUAUCUUCCGCCGCCUUAACGUCGUCCCCGCCCCUGCACGCGCCCCCGCAGCAACCCUAGUGGCCACGGGUCGCUGGUGCGGCUCCCCUGCCUCUGGUUUAUCUGCCAACUACCCCUGCGUCUCCGCACCCAUGGCUGCCAACUCGGGCUCAACGGUGCUGCUCCGCCUCGGUCACCUCGACUCUGACGUCGACAGUCCUGUAAGUCACUCCUCCCCUCUGCUGCUUUGUGUGGCAAGGCCAUCGUGCCAUGGCUGAUUCCUUGCCGUCCAUCACGAUGAUGAUCCUAAUAAACCAAAUAUUACUCUGUAGAAGCGUUACUUUUGUUGAGGAGUGCUGCCUAAAUUUGUUCUUCCACUGUGGCGUUCUAACAAUAAUUAUCCUGGCCAAGUUGCAUAAAGAAAGUAACUAAUUUGCAUCUAGAAAUGUACUAGUAUAUAUAAGGCUUGUAAGUGCAUUUGGCAGCAACAAAAAAUAGCUUGCAUCCCAUCUAAUUAACCAACUCAAUCAAUUUUUUGACGGUUAUAUCUAUAUAUAGCAUAUAGCUCAAAUAUAUAUAUGUGGCAUGUACUCUCUGUCCCAGUUGUCCUUUACAUGUGUGCAUAAUCUGUCGCAAAGCCUUUUCUUGCAAAUGCAACAAAUAUCGCUAACUAGCCAUUGACCUCCUUAAUUAUUCAUAUCUAGUACGUGCAAAUGGUAAUUAUAGGCUUAUAGCAUGGACGGCUAUGAACCCCAGAUGGCCAGAAGCAGGGGCGGAUCCACUAUUGGUCAUGGCUGUAGCUCUCCUGUGACAAAAAUUCCUAUAUGUAGGUAUAUGGCAAAAAUACUAAGAGUACAUUCUUUGAGAGACUACGCAGUAGCUCUCCUGUGACAAACAGACCAAUAAAAGCCCAUCGGCUGCAGCGGCACAACCCACUAAGCAGCAGCCCAAGAGCAGCAACCAGUCACAUCUACCGUCACGCACGACCGAACGAGAGACACUUCGCAGCUCAGCUCUGUUCAAAUGCUCCUAAAAAACCUCAGUCCAAAUUCACCAAAUCCACCAGCACGGUAGCACUAGAGCCAGAUGAGCACGGGGGAGCGGCGCUCUGACCUCUGUGCGGGCGUGCGGCUGUGCCGAUGGAGAGGUCGACGAAGUCGCGGGCUCCGGACGCUGAUAGGAUGGAGCCCUCCGUGCGGCUAGCCCAGAAGUUAGUUUUUUUUAACCAUCUUCUUAUCAAAUUUUGAUUGCUUUACUCUCUGAUUUUUCUUUGUGUGAACAUAUAGUAGGGUUGUGUUAUAGUGAAGAAAGUAAGUUAUAUUCACUCCAGACCUACAUAUCUGUUAAUGGAACUUUUAUGUUUGUUCAAGUUGACAUUAAAACAUACUUGUAUCAGUUAUAUCGUAUUUAUAUGAGGAUGUGUGAAAUAAACAGUGUAUUAUAGUCCUUUUAAAUACACAACUAUUUUUGUAUUACUGCCCGAACAUAUAAAUUUUCUUCGCAUACGUUGUAGAACCACGAUCACAUGCUUGAUCCACUGCAUCACUCAAUGGUCAUGAGCUCCACUGUCCUCAUCUGCAGAGUGAAAUAUGACCACCUAGGGAUAGCCGUUGUGCCAUUGUAGAUCACAGGUGGACAACAACCAUCAUGGUGAUUGGUGAGCAACCUUGUUGGAGCCUCGAGGCCCAAAAUUCCACUUCACCUUUCUAGGUAUUUCAGUUUUGGGCUUGCAUAUUUCAGUUUGUCAUCUAGUUCUGCCCAUGUAAGAGUUGUUUCUAGCUGGGUAUGUGUUAAUCCAGGAAGAAUAUUUCCAUCUCUUUUCCUAAAUAAUUCUUUCUUGUGAUGAAUUAGGUUUGAUUCUCUUUCUGCUAUGUGUGUGGAUAAUUAGUUAUAUUUUCGUGAAGAUUUUCAUGGCAGAGGGCAGGCCUGGCGCAGUGGUGAAGUCCUCCCCACUUGUGCCAAGAGGUCCUGGGUUCGAACCAGCCUCUCUGCAUUGCACUUUGCAGGGGUAAGACUAGGUUCCUAUAAUCCCUCCCCAGACCCCACCUUGUGUGGGAGCUUCUAUGCACUGGGUCUGUCCUUUAAGAUUUUCAUGGCAGAUCAAGUAAAUAAGCUGUGAUGGUAUCUCUGGAUAUCCUAGCUGUGACCCUGUGACCAAGUCAUGAAAGAAGAUUCCUUCAAGUAUUAGUUAAUAGGUUCUAAAGUGACUUUGCUUCAGGUAACAUGCUUGUGUUUGUUGUUUCUCUUAACAGGUAAAUCUUCGAGACUUGUGAAUAUUGCAAAUAGGAAAUAUAUAAAUCAAUAAGUUCACAGAAUAUGCCUUAAGAAUGAACUCAGAGCUUUGGCUUUAUUAAAUGGGAUCUUCGCAAGUUGAUGAUUGCGCCACACCACUCUUUUCAAUAAAUUAAGUUCUUUAAAAAUGCAAUGUUUUUAUUUGUUUAUUUUCGUAUUCUAUAGUUGAAUUUUCAAUGGAAGACUAGCAUACGUGUUAUCUAGCUUGAUAUUCUUGGCUGAUGUAAGAUAAAGCAUUCGGAUCCAUAUUUUGUACAAUUCUAUACACCAUAAUCCAGAAUAUUAUACAAAAUCUUAGGAUGGAUACAGUUCUUGUGUUCAUGUGUUAUACAAGAUAAAUCAUUACAGAAUUUGAAUGCAAGAAUAUUCUAACUUUUGUUUACAUGAAUCACAACUAUGAACAUGCAGAGACAUGAAAAAUAUUUUGAAUUAUCAAAUAUGAAGUCGUUUUAUGCAUUUAUUUUAGUUUCAGUUUCAGCUACAUCCGAUUUCCCAAGCUUUCUGUACCUAUUUGUAUUGUUUGAUCAGUCAUUUGUCAAUCGCCGACCACUCGACCUACCUUAAGCUGCACCAAAGGCGUGCCACCGCAUAGGUAAGCUUCUCUCUCGCGCCCUCUACAUUUGCAUACUUUACCUUGCUUUGGUGAAUCUGAAAGAUGAUGACUACUACUAUUGACAAAAGGGAAAGAUCAGGAAAAUUUUGAGAGUUGAAAACACACCUCUUCCUCUGAUGGAUGCUUCCAACUACUAGAACUAGAUGGUUCCCAUAUUGAGUUCACCCACUAACCUGCUAGAAAAAGAAAUGUCAUUUUAGCAUUCUUAAAUAGGAAAACUUAUAAGUUGUAACAUGACAGAAAAUUUAAACAAUAUUGUGUAAACUACUAUGGAGGUCAGAUUUAUAUCAUUAUUUGCCAGGCUUGGUGACUCAUGUCAGUUUUUUGUUGUUGUAGAUUGCAAGACAAAUAGAUGGUCCAUGGCUAAGCUGUUGAUUGCAAGAUAAAUAGAUGGCGCAUGGCUAAUUUGUUGAUUGCAAGGCGGAGAAUGGGGCAACUACCAGAUAGUUCUACAUUAAUGUUAAGAGUGUUACUUUCAUGGUCAAUGUAUAGAAAAUCAUGUAUAUAUUCCCUGGAUCGUGUUCCAUGUAUUGCAAACGAGUUGAUUUAAUAUAUGAGAUCUUUCUGUUUACCGGAUUGCUA